rnacentral:rRNA from 1 species
UGGGGAAUAUUGGACAAUGGAGGCAGCUCUGAUCCAGCAAUUCUGUGUGUGUGAAGAAGGUUUUAGGACUGUAAAACACUUUUAGAAGGGAAGAAAGAAAUGACGGUACCUACAGAAGAAGCGACGGCUAAAUACGUGCCAGCAGCCGCGGUAAUACGUAUGUCGCGAGCGUUAUCCGGAAUUAUUGGGCUUAAAGGGCAUCUAGGCGGUUAAACAAGUUGAAGGUGAAAACCUGUGGCUCAACCAUAGGCUUGCCUACAAAACUGUAUAACUAGAGUACUGGAAAGGUGGGUGGAACUACACGAGUAGAGGUGAAAUUCGUAGAUAUGUGUAGGAAUGCCGAUGAUGAAGAUAACUCACUGGACAGCAACUGACGCUGAAGUGCGAAAGCUAGGGGAGCAAACAGG